GGUUAAGCGACUAAGCGUACACGGUGGAUGCCCUGGCAGUCAGAGGCGAUGAAGGGCGUGCUAAUCUGCGAUAAGCGCCGGUAAGGUGAUAUGAACCGUUAUAACCGGCGAUACCCGAAUGGGGAAACCCAGUGUGACUCGUCACACUAUCAUUAACUGAAUCCAUAGGUUAAUGAGGCGAACCGGGGGAACUGAAACAUCUAAGUACCCCGAGGAAAAGAAAUCAACCGAGAUUCCCCCAGUAGCGGCGAGCGAACGGGGAGGAGCCCAGAGCCUGAAUCAGCAUGUGUGUUAGUGGAAGCGUCUGGAAAGGCGCGCGAUACAGGGUGACAGCCCCGUACACAAAAGCGCAUGUGCUGUGAGCUCGAUGAGUAGGGCGGGACACGUGGUAUCCUGUCUGAAUAUGGGGGGACCAUCCUCCAAGGCUAAAUACUCCUGACUGACCGAUAGUGAACCAGUACCGUGAGGGAAAGGCGAAAAGAACCCCGGCGAGGGGAGUGAAAAAGAACCUGAAACCGUGUACGUACAAGCAGUGGGAGCCCCACCACUAAGCCAGUGGUGAACUCCACAUACGCAUCCUUUGCUGAGGAUACGGUUAACGGAGCGAAAGCGACGUUCAACCGCAAAAGAAGCAGAGGGGGCUUAGUGGUGGGGUGACUGCGUACCUUUUGUAUAAUGGGUCAGCGACUUAUAUUCUGUAGCAAGGUUAACCGAAUAGGGGAGCCGGAGGGAAACCGAGUCUUAAUUGGGCGUUAAGUUGCAGGGUAUAGACCCGAAACCCGGUGAUCUAGCCAUGGGCAGGUUGAAGGUUGGGUAACACUAACUGGAGGACCGAACCGACUAAUGUUGAAAAAUUAGCGGAUGACCUGUGGCUGGGGGUGAAAGGCCAAUCAAACCGGGAGAUAGCUGGUUCUCCCCGAAAGCUAUUUAGGUAGCGCCUCGUGAAUUCAUCUCCGGGGGUAGAGCACUGUUUCGGCUAGGGGGCCAUCCCGGCUUACCAACCCGAUGCAAACUGCGAAUACCGGAGAAUGUUAUCACGGGAGACACACGGCGGGUGCUAACGUCCGUCGUGAAGAGGGAAACAACCCAGACCGCCAGCUAAGGUCCCAAAGUCAUGGUUAAGUGGGAAACGAUGUGGGAAGGCCCAGACAGCCAGGAUGUUGGCUUAGAAGCAGCCAUCAUUUAAAGAAAGCGUAAUAGCUCACUGGUCGAGUCGGCCUGCGCGGAAGAUGUAACGGGGCUAAACCAUGCACCGAAGCUGCGGCAGCGACGCUGAUGCGUUGUUGGGUAGGGGAGCGUUCUGUAAGCCUGCGAAGGUGACCUGUGAGGGUUGCUGGAGGUAUCAGAAGUGCGAAUGCUGACAUAAGUAACGAUAAAGCGGGUGAAAAGCCCGCUCGCCGGAAGACCAAGGGUUCCUGUCCAACGUUAAUCGGGGCAGGGUGAGUCGACCCCUAAGGCGAGGCCGAAAGGCGUAGUCGAUGGGAAACGGGUUAAUAUUCCCGUACUUGGUGUUACUGCGAAGGGGGGACGGAGAAGGCUAUGUUGGCCGGGCGACGGUUGUCCCGGUUUAAGCGUGUAGGUGUGUGUUCCAGGUAAAUCCGGUUCACUUUAACACUGAGGCGUGACGACGAGGCACUACGGUGCUGAAGCAACAAAUGCCCUGCUUCCAGGAAAAGCCUCUAAGCAUCAGGUAACAUCAAAUCGUACCCCAAACCGACACAGGUGGUCAGGUAGAGAAUACCAAGGCGCUUGAGAGAACUCGGGUGAAGGAACUAGGCAAAAUGGUGCCGUAACUUCGGGAGAAGGCACGCUGACACGUAGGUGAAGUGAUUUACUCAUGGAGCUGAAGUCAGUCGAAGAUACCAGCUGGCUGCAACUGUUUAUUAAAAACACAGCACUGUGCAAACACGAAAGUGGACGUAUACGGUGUGACGCCUGCCCGGUGCCGGAAGGUUAAUUGAUGGGGUCAGCGCAAGCGAAGCUCCUGAUCGAAGCCCCGGUAAACGGCGGCCGUAACUAUAACGGUCCUAAGGUAGCGAAAUUCCUUGUCGGGUAAGUUCCGACCUGCACGAAUGGCGUAAUGAUGGCCAGGCUGUCUCCACCCGAGACUCAGUGAAAUUGAACUCGCUGUGAAGAUGCAGUGUACCCGCGGCAAGACGGAAAGACCCCGUGAACCUUUACUAUAGCUUGACACUGAACAUUGAGCCUUGAUGUGUAGGAUAGGUGGGAGGCUUUGAAGUGUGGACGCCAGUCUGCAUGGAGCCGACCUUGAAAUACCACCCUUUAAUGUUUGAUGUUCUAACGUGGACCCGUUACCCGGGUUGCGGACAGUGUCUGGUGGGUAGUUUGACUGGGGCGGUCUCCUCCUAAAGAGUAACGGAGGAGCACGAAGGUUGGCUAAUCCUGGUCGGACAUCAGGAGGUUAGUGCAAUGGCAUAAGCCAGCUUGACUGCGAGCGUGACGGCGCGAGCAGGUGCGAAAGCAGGUCAUAGUGAUCCGGUGGUUCUGAAUGGAAGGGCCAUCGCUCAACGGAUAAAAGGUACUCCGGGGAUAACAGGCUGAUACCGCCCAAGAGUUCAUAUCGACGGCGGUGUUUGGCACCUCGAUGUCGGCUCAUCACAUCCUGGGGCUGAAGUAGGUCCCAAGGGUAUGGCUGUUCGCCAUUUAAAGUGGUACGCGAGCUGGGUUUAGAACGUCGUGAGACAGUUCGGUCCCUAUCUGCCGUGGGCGCUGGAGAACUGAGGGGGGCUGCUCCUAGUACGAGAGGACCGGAGUGGACGCAUCACUGGUGUUCGGGUUGUCAUGCCAAUGGCACUGCCCGGUAGCUAAAUGCGGAAGAGAUAAGUGCUGAAAGCAUCUAAGCACGAAACUUGCCCCGAGAUGAGUUCUCCCUGAGACUUAAAGUCUCCUGAAGGAACGUUGAAGACGACGACGUUGAUAGGCCGGGUGUGUAAGCGCAGCGAUGCGUUGAGCUAACCGGUACUAAUGAACCGUGAGGCUUAACCUU
rnacentral:rRNA from 1 species